rnacentral:rRNA from 1 species
GAUGAACGCUGGCGGCGUGCCUAAUACAUGCAAGUCGAGCGAACAGACGAGGAGCUUGCUCCUCUGACGUUAGCGGCGGACGGGUGAGUAACACGUGGAUAACCUACCUAUAAGACUGGGAUAACUUCGGGAAACCGGAGCUAUACCGGAUAAUAUAUUUAACCGCAUGGUUCAAUAGUGAAAGACGGUUUUGCUGUCACCUAUAGAUGGAUCCGCGCCGCAUUAGCUAGUUGGUAAGGUAACGGCUUACCAAGGCAACGAUGCGUAGCCGACCUGAGAGGGUGAUCGGCCACACUGGAACUGAGACACGGUCCAGACUCCUACGGGAGGCAGCAGUAGGGAAUCUUCCGCAAUGGGCGAAAGCCUGACGGAGCAACGCCGCGUGAGUGAUGAAGGUCCUCGGAUCGUAAAACUCUGUUAUCAGGGAAGAACAAAUGUGUAAGUAACUAUGCACGUCUUGACGGUACCUAAUCAGAAAGCCACGGCUAACUACGUG